rnacentral:rRNA from 1 species
UGUUUCGGCUAGGGGGCCAUCCCGGCUUACCAACCCGAUGCAAACUGCGAAUACCGGAGAAUGUUAUCACGGGAGACACACGGCGGGUGCUAACGUCCGUCGUGAAGAGGGAAACAACCCAGACCGCCAGCUAAGGUCCCAAAGUCAUGGUUAAGUGGGAAACGAUGUGGGAAGGCCCAGACAGCCAGGAUGUUGGCUUAGAAGCAGCCAUCAUUUAAAGAAAGCGUAAUAGCUCACUGGUCGAGUCGGCCUGCGCGGAAGAUGUAACGGGGCUAAACCAUGCACCGAAGCUGCGGCAGCGACACUCAGGUGUUGUUGGGUAGGGGAGCGUUCUGUAAGCCUGUGAAGGUGUGUCGUGAGGCAUGCUGGAGGUAUCAGAAGUGCGAAUGCUGACAUAAGUAACGAUAAAGCGGGUGAAAAGCCCGCUCGCCGGAAGACCAAGGGUUCCUGUCCAACGUUAAUCGGGGCAGGGUGAGUCGACCCCUAAGGCGAGGCCGAAAGGCGUAGUCGAUGGGAAACGGGUUAAUAUUCCCGUACUUGGUGUUACUGCGAAGGGGGGACGGAGAAGGCUAUGUUGGCCGGGCGACGGUUGUCCCGGUUUAAGCGUGUAGGUGUGUGUUCCAGGUAAAUCCGGUUCACUUUAACACUGAGGCGUGAUGACGAGGCACUACGGUGCU